AUUGAACGCUGGCGGCAGGCUUAACACAUGCAAGUCGAGCGGGGGGAGGUAGCUUGCUACCUAACCUAGCGGCGGACGGGUGAGUAAUGCUUAGGAAUCUGCCUAUUAGUGGGGGACAACAUUUCGAAAGGGAUGCUAAUACCGCAUACGCCCUAAGGGGGAAAGCAGGGGAUCUUCGGCACUAGCGCUAAUAGAUGAGCCUAAGUCGGAUUAGCUAGUUGGUGGGGUAUAGGCCUACCAAGGCGACGAUCUGUAGCGGGUCUGAGAGGAUGAUCCGCCACACUGGGACUGAGACACGGCCCAGACUCCUACGGGAGGCAGCAGUGGGGAAUAUUGGACAAUGGGGGGAACCCUGAUCCAGCCAUGCCGCGUGUGUGAAGAAGGCCUUUUGGUUGUAAAGCACUUUAAGCGAGGAGGAGGCUACCGAGAUUAAUACUCUUGGAUAGUGGACGUUACUCGCAGAAUAAGCACCGGCUAACUCUGUGCCAGCAGCCGCCGUAACAC
rnacentral:rRNA from 1 species